rnacentral:rRNA from 1 species
CCUACGGGAGGCAGCAGUGAGGAAUAUUGGUCAAUGGACGGAAGUCUGAACCAGCCAUGCCGCGUGCAGGAAGACGGCUCUAUGAGUUGUAAACUGCUUUUGUACAAGGGUAAACCUGAAUACGUGUAUUCAGCUGAAAGUACUGUACGAAUAAGGAUCGGCUAACUCCGUGCCAGCAGCCGCGGUAAUACGGAGGAUCCAAGCGUUAUCCGGAUUUAUUGGGUUUAAAGGGUGCGUAGGCGGAUUGAUAAGUUAGUGGUGAAAGGUUGGAGCUUAACUCGAGAACUGCCUUUAAUACUGUUGAUCUAGAGAAUAGAUGAGGUAGGCGGAAUGCAUGGUGUAGCGGUGAAAUGCUUAGAGAUCAUACAGAACACCGAUUGCGAAGGCAGCUUACCAAUCUAUAUCUGACGUUGAGGCACGAAAGCGUGGGGAGCAAACAGGAUUAGAUACCCCUGUAGUC